ACCGAUAGUGAACCAGUACCGUGAGGGAAAGGCGAAAAGAACCCCGGCGAGGGGAGUGAAAAAGAACCUGAAACCGUGUACGUACAAGCAGUGGGAGCCCCACCACUAAGCCAGUGGUGAACUCCACAUACGCAUCCUUUGCUGAGGAUACGGUUAACGGAGCGAAAGCGACGUUCAACCGCAAAAGAAGCAGAGGGGGCUUAGUGGUGGGGUGACUGCGUACCUUUUGUAUAAUGGGUCAGCGACUUAUAUUCUGUAGCAAGGUUAACCGUAUAGGGGAGCCGGAGGGAAACCGAGUCUUAACCGGGCGUUAAGUUGCAGGGUAUAGACCCGAAACCCGGUGAUCUAGCCAUGGGCAGGUUGAAGGUUGGGUAACACUAACUGGAGGACCGAACCGACUAAUGUUGAAAAAUUAGCGGAUGACCUGUGGCUGGGGGUGAAAGGCCAAUCAAACCGGGAGAUAGCUGGUUCUCCCCGAAAGCUAUUUAGGUAGCGCCUCGUGAAUUCAUCUCCGGGGGUAGAGCACUGUUUCGGCUAGGGGGCCAUCCCGGCUUACCAACCCGAUGCAAACUGCGAAUACCGGAGAAUGUUAUCACGGGAGACACACGGCGGGUGCUAACGUCCGUCGUGAAGAGGGAAACAACCCAGACCGCCAGCUAAGGUCCCAAAGUCAUGGUUAAGUGGGAAACGAUGUGGGAAGGCCCAGACAGCCAGGAUGUUGGCUUAGAAGCAGCCAUCAUUUAAAGAAAGCGUAAUAGCUCACUGGUCGAGUCGGCCUGCGCGGAAGAUGUAACGGGGCUAAACCAUG
rnacentral:rRNA from 1 species